rnacentral:tRNA from 1 species
CAGGGAGACAAAACUGAUUGUGAAGCCAUCUUUUUUUUUGGUCGCAAUCCUGUCACCUUAGGUCAAUCGGUACCUCAGUUUUAUAUCCAAAGAGAUAUCUAAUUCAGUUCCUAAACUUGUCUAGGUCACACCCAACAAGGGUACUCCUGGGCCAUUAGCUCAGGUGGUUAGAGCGCACCCCUGAUAAGGGUGAGGUCCCUGGUUCAAGUCCAGGGUGGCCCAUUCGGUGUUGGGGGUAUAGCUCAGUUGGUAGAGCGCCUGCUUUGCAAGCAGGAUGUCAGCGGUUCGAGUCCGCUUACCUCCACUGAAACCUACCCUGAUAACUUAAUUCAGGGGAAAUUUGUAAAUGUGACUUAGAGCUGUCUAGCUGAAUAGAACCUAGCUUUUUAUCAUCGUUUUGAGUUGAUAAUAUGCUGGGCUCUCAUGGGGAUUUCCCAUUUGAAUUCAGUAGAACCUUGAAAACUGCAUAGAUGGAAAGAAUAAAAGCAUCUCAUGGAUGCAUAAUUCUGUAUCAAUUUUUUAGUGUUAAAACUAGAUUAAGGGUACAUAAUUCAUGUUUAAUUCUUGAGUAAAAGCCGAGCACAAUUAAAAUUGUGAUUGUAUUUAA